UACGUAGGGUGCAAGCGUUGUCCGGAAUUAUUGGGCGUAAAGAGCUCGUAGGCGGUUUGUCGCGUCUGCUGUGAAAAUCCAGGGCUUAACCCUGGACCUGCAGUGGGUACGGGCAGACUGGAGUGCGGUAGGGGAGAUCGGAAUUCCUGGUGUAGCGGUGAAAUGCGCAGAUAUCAGGAGGAACACCGGUGGCGAAGGCGGAUCUCUGGGCAAUUCCUGACGCUGAGGCGCGAAAGCGUGGGGAGCAAACGGG
rnacentral:rRNA from 1 species